rnacentral:rRNA from 1 species
UACGUAGGGUGCGAGCGUUGUCCGGAAUUAUUGGGCGUAAAGGGCUCGUAGGCGGUUUGUCGCGUCGGGAGUGAAAUCCACUGGCUUAACUGGUGGCUUGCUUUCGAUACGGGCAGACUGGAGGUAUGCAGGGGAGAACGGAAUUCCUGGUGUAGCGGUGAAAUGCGCAGAUAUCAGGAGGAAUACCGGUGGUGUAGACGGCUCUCUGGACCGCCACUGACGCUGAGACACGAAAGCGUGGGUAGCAAACAGG